rnacentral:rRNA from 1 species
UACGGGGGGGGCAAGCGUUGUUCGGAAUUACUGGGCGUAAAGGGCUCGUAGGUGGCCAACUAAGUCAGACGUGAAAUCCCUCGGCUUAACCGGGGAACUGCGUCUGAUACUGGAUGGCUAGAGAUUGGGAGAGGGAUGCGGAAUUCCAGGUGUAGCGGUGAAAUGCGUAGAUAUCAGGAGGAACACCGAUGGCGAAGGCAGGUCUCUGGGCUGACACUGACGCUCAUGCACGAAAGCGUGGGGAGCAAACAGG